CAGCCAUAUCACGUUAAAACACCGGUUCUCGAACGAUCAACAAAGUUAAGCAACAUCGAGCCUAAUCAGUACGUAGAUGGGUGACGGCUUAGAAAUAACUGGUGCUGUG